rnacentral:tRNA from 1 species
UUAAUAAAAUCCAAAUAGAGGAGUGUCACUGUUAAUGGCAUCAUUAAGAUAAAGUCUUUUAUUAAA